AAAUCAGAGAAACCUUAACCCUAAUUAGCCUCCACUCUUGACACCAGCCAUGCUUUCUCCACCGACGAAUAGCUUCCUAAGUUCACCGAUUACUUCCAGCAAAUUAAUUUUUUUUCCUUUGCAAAGUGGUGGUUUGAAUUUGAUACUGAUCUUGCUCUUCGAAGUCUUCUCUUCCCCUCAAUCUUGUGUUUAGCUUAGCCGCAUCCUUAUAUUAUAAUCAACAAUAAAAGAUCAAGGCUGGAUUUAGGUAAAUUGAAGCACAAACGAAAUAUUGGGGCUGGAUCUGGAAAAAUAGAAAGUAAAAAUCUUUUUUAUAUAGUCGCACCCCUAUGCCCUCUCUAUGAACAUCCACCAUCGGUACCACUGCAACCAGCCAUCUACAACCCUUCACCAUCUCCUUCAUCUUCCGGCUCUCACGCUCUCAUCAACUCUCGCAAUCCGCUAAAACUGUUCGGAUUUAAAGAUUUCGCCUAUCACAUUCUCCGUUUUUUCUUCUUCUUCUUGAUGACCCAUUCAAAAUUUCACAUAUUUUGUAUGUGGCUUGGUUGCAGGUUGAUUGUUGAUUAUUUCAGUUGGUUUUCCCCUUCCCAUUUCAUGUGUUCGUCAUCUUGCAAUCUGAAGUCUUCUACCGAUUUAUGUUUUUCAGACCUAAAUCGACUUAUGGUCUCUGUUUCAUUUUGAUUUUUAGCUUUUGAAACCCUCAAGGUUCAAGCCCUAAAUCGAUUUAUGGUUCUCAUGUAAAUAUUGCAUCUUAUGUUAGAGCAUCAUUUUGAUUGUUAGCUUUUGAAACCCUUAAGGUUCAAGCCCUAAAUCGAUUUAUGGUUCUCAUGUAAAUAUUGCAUCUUAUGUUAGAGCCAUGCUUGCUACCAAACUUUCUGAGCUUGCUUUCGUUGAUCCAAAUAGGGCAAACAUGACUUUGGGAACUGAUUAGGGGGAAUAAGACAUUCACAUUUGUGGGGAUGUCUUUAGUUAACGACUAAAGAAUAGGUGAAGAUGACUGAACCAAGCGAGAUUUCUAAAUCCAACAAGCAUCCUGAUAAGAACCCAAUAAUAAGAAGGAAACAGAAGCUAUGUUUAAACAAAUCUGUGAAUCAUAUGAUGUAUGUCUCACUUCCUUUCUCCAUAUCUCUGUAUGAUGUAUUUACCGUUAAUUGCUCAAAUUCUUAUGAUGUGAAUUCUUAAUUGGGUGUUUGGUAGUUUUUAUGUAGAUUGAAAUACAUGAUCUUCACUAGCAAUCAACUAAGUAUAAGUUCAUUUGCUGAUGUGAACCAUUUGGAUUCAGUUUUAUUGUUGUUAUUGGAUUUUGAUUAAAAUAUUGUGUAGCAAAAUUGGUUUUUGAUGAAAUUAUCUAAAAUACAAAAUUUCUACCUUCUAAUUGAUUAGGUUUUCAUACUGGAUUGGAAAUUAUGUGAUAGAAUAAUUCAAAUUCCUUCUAAUUUCUAUAAAAGAACAUUUUUUUAAGUUUGUGAAUUGUGAAAUUAGAACGCUGAUUUUAGUCGAUGAGUAUUUUUGGAACAACUAAGAUUUUAUAAAUGUAAACUAAUAACUAUCAAAAUCGGUUUAAUUCAAAAGAUAUUCCAUUUUUUUCACUUCUUUCUGUUUCGUAAUAUAUUGAAGGAACUAAGUUACUGAUAUAUAUUGGUUUAUAACAGGGUUGAUUUUCUUUUUAUUUUUCUCUAUUAAUUUUAUCUUUUUUACUAUUUAUUGUAAGUACCCAUCUAAUCAAAUUUAUCUCUUUAAAAAAAAAACAAAUCUACGAUGAUAAUUGGUAUAAUGCUGGAAAAGGUGCUCAUCUUACACUAAAGCGUGCAGAAAAUGGAAAAAUAUAUGAUAAGCGGACAAUACAAAAAAAGUCGAGGGAUUCUACCAAGGAGACUACAGUGUAUAUCGACAAAAUUAUUAAACUUCGAGAAGUGACAUUUGUUCAUGGUGUAGAUAUUCAGUGAGAUAAUGUUGGUGGUUGUUGAUGAUGUUGGGAUUCAAGCAAAUGAUUCUGAUAUAGUUCGAAUGCAAGACUCUUGGGUUUGAUGUAUUCAUAAGUACACAACCAAUGAACCAAUUAGUAAAAUAAGUCCCGGUAAUAAGGAUGAAUACAAUAAUGGAAAGGGAUCUAAAGGUUGAAUAAGACCUCUUUUAACCUUUAAACUUUCUUGAUGUAUACCCAAUUUUUGUAAUUAUGUUAUGUAAAGUCUUAGUUAUGACUAUAUAGAACUUGGCGAAUUUGACUUUAUGGACAUAUCUUAAUAUCUUUUUUGUGUGAAAUGAAGCAUGACAAGUGAACUACAAAGUAAA